rnacentral:tRNA from 1 species
AAGAAAGUGGCAGAGUGGUUAUGGUGGUUGGCUUGAAACCAAUUUAUGGAGGUUCAAUUCCUUCCUUUCUCG